CCCUUAUUUCUUAAACUUUCUAAUCUGUUGUCAUCCUUAGAUUCCACUGAAGGCCACCCCACAUCAAGUAACAUACUUUGCGGAGAAGAAUCUAUAUCCACUUAUUGUCUCAGUUCCUGUUCCUAAACCACUUAAUCAAGUUAUUUCUCUAGUUGAACAAGAUUCCAACCAUCAGAGUGAGAGCCAGAAUCUAAAUCCUGAUGAACAAAACCAUUUUUAUUCUGUUGAUGAAUUUGAGGUUUGUAUUAUGGAGCCAGAUAAGUCUGGUGGCCCUUGGCAAACAAAGGCAACAAUUCAUAUGCAAACUUCUGAAAAUGCCCUUACAGUGAGAAUGAUUACACUGCUGAAUACAUCCUCCAAAGAAAAUGAAACACUUUUGGCUGUUGGCACUGCUUAUGUGCAAGGAGAAGACGUGGCUGCUAGAGGACGUAUCCUGCUGUUCUCUUUAGGAAAAAAAUACCGAUAAUCCUCAAA